GCUCCCGUCCCUCGGCAGCGCCCCGGGGUCCGGGACAGUGCCCCUCGUCCCUCCCGGAGAACAGCCGGAGCCUCUCUCCGACGGGGCGGCGGUGUCUGCUGAGGAAAACCUCGCAGGAAGCGGGCGGCCCCGGCCACCGGCGGCGGCCCGGUCACCACGUCCCGCCUCACGGCCCCAACGAGCCGGGCGGGGACCUAAAAUAAGAACAGGGAGGGCGUUUGAUAAAUUCCUUCGACCCGCCUGUCACUGAGGCAAUGGCCAGAACACCACCGAAAGAGGAGAGCAUAUGAAGAAAACCUGCUGAUGAAAGAAAGGAAGACCCAUGUUUCGCUCAGUCCAGAAGCAUCAGGAGACACGGAAUCAUCAUCCAGACAGCAGCUACAGAGCAACUUGCCUGUGUUCCUAUCAGCACUUCAGUUUGUGUUCAUCAACAUGAUGCCAUAGAUCCACCUUUUCCACUAGGAUCUGCUCUGUUAGCCAGGAAUAUCAUCCUCACACACCAGCAUUCCCUGCAGAUGUUUGCAAAAUAAAAGGGAGAGCUGAGUCCCAGAGGUGAGGAUCCAGUGGCUCGGACAAAGCAGCGUGAACAUGUGAGAUUUGGGCCCAAGCACCCUCCUGAUCCUGCUGCUGUGGCUCCUUGCUGCAUCACCUCCUCUCACCACGUUUGAUGGGCACAGGGA